AUUUGGACCAACCGUGAGUGAUCAACCAUUGGAGCAAGCUAUGGAGCUUGAAUAGCUCAUUGGAAUUGGUGUAUGUUUGUAAAAGUUGAUUGCUGAAACUGUUGGUGAAGAACAAAGGUUGACUGAAGCAUUGAGGUAAGGAUGCUGCAGGAGCCUCUGGUGGCAAGUGGCCAUACCUAGAUUAUGCAUGAAAUAUGGCACUUCUUUGAGUUUAUGCAUGCCUUUUGUAGUUGACAUGUAUAGG